UUAACUUCAGAUCAAACUGGGCCGUACGUUGCUCCUGGACUGAAAUUCAGUGUGCGUGUGUGCGUGUGUGUGUGUGUCCCCCUCAGGUGAAGCUAUGCUGGGACGAUCUGACGGCUGCUCACUGCGUCCAAUCAGCAGCCACUCAAAGCGCCUCCAGUCCCAUCCAGCUGGAUUUCCCUCAGGCUCAGGGAGCUCAGAUGGAUGCGUGUUUUCCUCCAGGAAGCCUUCCUACACGUCCAGAAUCUGAUAGUCCUGAUCCACAGCUGGACCCACUGCUUGAACCACCGCUUGAACCAGAGCUAAGACCACAGCUGGAACAACAGCUUGAAACACAGCUGGGACCACAGCUGGGACCACAACUAGGACAACAGCUGGGACCACAGCUGGAACAACAGCUGGGACCACAACGAGGACAACAGCUGGGACCACAACUAGGACAAGAGCUUGGACCACAGCUGGGCAUCGUUCUCUCCCAACAGGCCAAGAUGUUACUCCAGCAGAUGCAGACCUUUGGCGAUCUACUGAAGAGUAGAAAACUGAGUCUUGAAAAGCAAACAGAGGGUUUGUGUCACCUCAGUGAAACCUUGGACUCGUUGGUAAAAAGUUUCCUCCUGACGAAUAAGGAGCUACGCCGCCUGAAGAAGCAGCACAGAGCAGACCUGGGUUGUCUUGACCCCACACGGACAUUGAAGGCACAGAUCUACUACUCUGUGUAUCUCAUGAGGAAGCUGAAGAAGUAUCAGGAGCAGCUCUAUGAGACUCCGCCCCCCUCCUUCCCUGUUCAGCAUGUGUGCUCGUCCACUCCACGAACCCCCCCACAGUUUCCAGCUGAUCCUGGUGAGAUGAAGGAACUGAGGUCAACCAGAGAAGGAAGUGACAACGACUACAAACACACACUCACCUCUCACUUCCUCCCACCUCUGAGCGAUGCUCACACACACAUGGAUCAAAGCAGUCAGUCCAGCUGCUUCCCUGGUCCUGUACCCAGCACCACCAGGACCACCACCAGAACCAGAACCAGUAGCAGUAGCACCACCAGCAGUAGCAGGAGGAGGAGGAUCAUACCUGGAGAGAGGAGGAGCUCCAAAGUUCAAUCGCAAGACGGGAUCAUCUCUCCAGAACUGGACACUAGCUUCAUUAGAUCAGAGAGCAGCCCCCUCCCCCCUUCUCCUGUCCACCAGAUGGCGACAGAGAGUGUCCGAUUGUUCCGCUGUGAUUCCAUUGAGUCCAUCUCUGCUGAGGAAAGCUCCAGGAAUCCUCCGUCUGUUUUUCACCCGCCCACAAACGCCAGCACGGCUCAGCAGGAGAAAAGUGGGAGGAGCCGCAGCCUCUACUGCUCGUCACCGCAGCGUGUCACAUGCAGCAGCAUCAGCAGCAUCAGCAGCAGGAUGAGAUCCAAUGUUCAGCCUCCUGCUCUGAUGUCCAGAUCCACUCAGACCUCAGCAGCAGUGGAGAGGAGCAGCCGGACGCCACAGCACCGUGAGAACCUUCUUUAUUCAACCAGUUCAGAGUUCUCAGUGAGAGAAACGUCUCUGAUUUAUAUCAACUAAACAGCUUCCUCACAUUCACAUCAGGGAAAGGAAACCAGGAGAGACCCUGGUUAUGAUGAACAUGGCAAAAAUCAUCAUGAAAUCUGGUGAAAAGAGGUUAAAAGUGACAAUAAUGGGUCAACAUAUAAACAUUAGGUGUAAAAGUGGUAGAAAGUGUUUAUAAGUGCUGAACAUGUCUGGAAAGUGGAAAAAAUGUGUAGAAAAGACAUUAAAAUGUGAUGUAGAAGUGUCAGAAAUGGGAGAAAUGUAGCAAAUAUAAAUUAAAAGGAGCAAAAAUAUGGAAAGAAAAAGUGAUGAAAAUAGGUUAAAAUAUGGUGAGUUUGGUGAAGUUACAGAAAAAUGAUAAAAAUAAGCAAAAAUGGGCUGAAAUUGUUCAAAAGAUAUUCACACACACACACACACUUUCUUCUGACUGAGCACUCACUGAAUGGAACUCCUAACCUGCUUUAUGAUUGGCAGACUGUUGCAGCGACUCCGCCCCUCAUCGGGUCAGACCAGUGAAGAGCCAACACAACCGUGCUCUUUUUCUACGCCAGUUUCUGCCAGGGUGUCCACCUCAAAAACUGUAAGUACACACACACACACACAAUAUACAAAAUAACUCCACAAACACACAAAACAAC
ensembl:lncRNA